rnacentral:rRNA from 1 species
UUGAACGCUGGCGGCAGGCCUAACACAUGCCAGUCGAACGGUAACAGGAAGAAGCUUGCUUCUUUGCUGACGAGUGGCGGCCGGGUGAGUAAUGUCUGGGAAACUGCCUGAUGGAGGGGGAUAACUACUGGAAACGGUAGCUAAUACCGCAUAACGUCGCAAGACCAAAGAGGGGGACCUUCGGGCCUCUUGCCAUCGGAUGUGCCCAGAUGGGAUUAGCUAGUAGGUGGGGUAACGGCUCACCUAGGCGACGAUCCCUAGCUGGUCUGAGAGGAUGACCAGCCACACUGGAACUGAGACACGGUCCAGACUCCUACGGGAGGCAGCAGUGGGGAAUAUUGCACAAUGGGCGCAAGCCUGAUGCAGCCAUGCCGCGUGUAUGAAGAAGGCCUUCGGGUUGUAAAGUACUUUCAGCGGGGAGGAAGGGAGUAAAGUUAAUACCUUUGCUCAUUGACGUUACCCGCAGAAGAAGCACCGGCUAACUCCGUG